AUCCAGAGGGUGCGAGCGUUAAUCGGAAUUACUGGGCGUAAAGCGCGCGUAGGCGGCUUGGUCAGUCGGAUGUGAAAGCCCCGGGCUCAACCUGGGAAUGGCAUUCGAUACUGCCAGGCUAGAGUAUGGGAGAGGGAAGUGGAAUUUCCGGUGUAGCGGUGAAAUGCGUAGAUAUCGGAAGGAACAACAGUGGCGAAGGCGACUUCCUGGCCCAAUACUGACGCUGAGGUGCGAAAGCGUGGGGAGCGAACAGGAUUAGAUACCCUAGUAGUCC
rnacentral:rRNA from 1 species